CAUGGCUCAGGACGAACGCUGGCGGCGUGCUUAACACAUGCAAGUCGAACGGUAAGGCCCUUCGGGGUACACGAGUGGCGAACGGGUGAGUAACACGUGGGUAAUCUGCCCUGCACAUCGGGAUAAGCCUGGGAAACUGGGUCUAAUACCGAAUAGGACCACAGAACACAUGUCCUGUGGUGGAAAGCUUUUGCGGUGUGGGAUGGGCCCGCGGCCUAUCAGCUUGUUGGUGGGGUGAUGGCCCACCAAGGCGACGACGGGUAGCCGGCCUGAGAGGGUGUCCGGCCACACUGGGACUGAGAUACGGCCCAGACUCCUACGGGAGGCAGCAGUGGGGAAUAUUGCACAAUGGGCGAAAGCCUGAUGCAGCGACGCCGCGUGGGGGAUGACGGCCUUCGGGUUGUAAACCUCUUUCACCAUCGACGAAGGUUCGGGUUUUCUCGGAUUGACGGUAGGUGGAGAAGAAGCACCGGCCAACUACGUGCCAGCAGCCGCGGUAAUACGUAGGGUGCGAGCGUUGUCCGGAAUUACUGGGCGUAAAGAGCUCGUAGGUGGUUUGUCGCGUUGUUCGUGAAAUCUCACGGCUUAACUGUGAGCGUGCGGGCGAUACGGGCAGACUUGAGUACUGCAGGGGAGACUGGAAUUCCUGGUGUAGCGGUGGAAUGCGCAGAUAUCAGGAGGAACACCGGUGGCGAAGGCGGGUCUCUGGGCAGUAACUGACGCUGAGGAGCGAAAGCGUGGGGAGCGAACAGGAUUAGAUACCCUGGUAGUCCACGCCGUAAACGGUGGGUACUAGGUGUGGGUUUCCUUCCUUGGGAUCCGUGCCGUAGCUAACGCAUUAAGUACCCCGCCUGGGGAGUACGGCCGCAAGGCUAAAACUCAAAGAAAUUGACGGGGGCCCGCACAAGCGGCGGAGCAUGUGGAUUAAUUCGAUGCAACGCGAAGAACCUUACCUGGGUUUGACAUGCACAGGACGCCGGCAGAGAUGUCGGUUCCCUUGUGGCCUGUGUGCAGGUGGUGCAUGGCUGUCGUCAGCUCGUGUCGUGAGAUGUUGGGUUAAGUCCCGCAACGAGCGCAACCCUUGUCUCAUGUUGCCAGCGGGUAAUGCCGGGGACUCGUGAGAGACUGCCGGGGUCAACUCGGAGGAAGGUGGGGAUGACGUCAAGUCAUCAUGCCCCUUAUGUCCAGGGCUUCACACAUGCUACAAUGGCCGGUACARAGGGCUGCGAUGCCGCGAGGUUAAGCGAAUCCUUUUAAAGCCGGUCUCAGUUCGGAUCGGGGUCUGCAACUCGACCCCGUGAAGUCGGAGUCGCUAGUAAUCGCAGAUCAGCAACGCUGCGGUGAAUACGUUCCCGGGCCUUGUACACACCGCCCGUCACGUCAUGAAAGUCGGUAACACCCGAAGCCRGUGGCCUAACCCUUUGGGAGGGAGCUGUCGAAGGUGGGAUCGGCGAUUGGGACGAAGUCGUAACAAG
rnacentral:rRNA from 1 species